rnacentral:tRNA from 1 species
GCCGAAAUAGCUCAGUUGGGAGAGACUUAGACUAUAGAUCAAAAAGUACCUGGUUCGAUUCUGUGUUUCCA